UAGUAACAAAAAUCUAUCCAAUUAGGGAUUAGAUAUGAAGUUAAAAAAGAAAGAAAGGAACUAGUUAACAUUUUUGGCAGAUGCUGUGUUUAUAUUAGAAACUCUGAGUAUAGCAACAAAAUAGAGAUUAAAAUAAGAACAACAAAUAAAUAUUAUUCCCCUGCAUAGUGACAAUAUCCAAUUAUAAAAAUGUAAUACAAAACAAUUCAAUUUACAAUAACAACUCAAACUAUAACAUUUCUAGAAAUGAACACAGUAGAAAUUUUACAAGACCUCUAUGUGGAAACUACACAAUUUAUGAAAGAAAAAAUUAAAAAUAAAUAAAUAGCGGCUUGGUGUGGUGGCUUACACCUGUAAUCCCAGCACGUUGGGAGAUUGAGGUAGGGACAUUGCUUGAGCCCAGGAGCUUACUGCUGCAAUGAGCCAUGUUCAUGCCUCUGCACUCCAGGCUAGGGGACAGGGUGAGACACUGUCUCAAAAAUAAAUUAACAAAAUAAAAUAAAAAUAGAAAACAGUGUUCAUGGAAAGAAAGAUUUAUUAUACUAAACAUGCCAAUUAAUUUGGAAUUACCUUGUAAAAUUAGCCUUAGACAAAUCAAAAUUUUAAGGUAGUUUUGUGAAAAUCUAAAUUGGGCAAGUUAUUUAACUUAUUUGUCCUCAGUUUCUUUAACUGUAAAAUGAGGGUAAUCCAUCUUCAUAGGACCGCUUGAGGAUUAAAGGAGAUAAUGUGUACAAAGGGCAUUGAACAAUACUGAGUAUAUGUUGAAUGCUAUGGAAAUGUGUAUUGUUAUUUCCUUUUCUAUGUAAUCGUAUAUGGUAUGUUCUAUCUUAUUCUCUAUAAAUAAUUUACUAUUAUUAAGAUGUAUUACUUUUAUAAGAUGCAAUAAAUGAAUGGAAAGGAUCCAUAUAAGAAGAGAGGAGAAAGAAUGGCACUAACUUUUAUUGUGUAUCUAGCAUGUGCAGUGAUGGUUCACGUAUAAUACAUUGUGUCCUGGGCUGAGGCAGAGGAGGGGCAAUGAGGAGGAGCCGGGCCUAGCAAGGACGUUCACUCCCUUGCCUCACAUCUUGUAGGAUAGUCUUUAAAGAAAACAGUUUAUGCUUAUUUUAUUAAAAGAAAAGGAAAGGUACAUUGCAAAUAUGACUUUACAAUUGAUAAUACAAUAGGGUGGGGUUUUUUCUUAUCAUCUCCUUUAUGUUUCCUUAAAAAAGUGAUCCUUUUUGUUAUAGAGCCCCCACUGCAAUUUGAUAACAUGUAAUAAUAAUGCCUAUUUUUAAAUUGCAUUCAGCCUAAGUGUGAUAUAGCUACAAAACAAUCUUUCUAUCACUUUCUACUACCUAACAUACAACUUCUAUGAAUCCUGUUGGCGUAUAUUUUAACCUGAUUUGCAUAUGAAUAUUUUGUUAGUGGUAUUCAGUGUGAAUAUGAUUUUAUAUCUUAGCUUUAAAACUCAGCAUAUUAUAAUCACAAAUUUUCUGUUCCUAAAUUAUUCUCAAAGCUGUAAUUCUGCAAUGCUGUGACCCAUGUGGCACGGGUCAGUGGGGUUAUAGGAAGCUGUCAGGGUGGAGCCUCCUCCGCCCCCACCAUCGCGGAGGUCCUCCCGCCUGUGCCCUGGGAAGGGGAGCUUGGAAAUCCCGCUGCAGUGAUUGCGAGUCCGAGGGGACGCCACGGCGUGCUGAUGGGUGUUUUUGUUCUUUUCUUCUUUGUCCUUCAGUUAAAUAAGAAAUCAGGUCCAGAGCCGAGUUCAAGGCAUUCGUGGCUUCAUGUGUAGCCACUGCCUGUCCGUCUUUGACGAGCACGGCCCUGGGGAGAGGGACAGUGGGGCUCUGUCCGCGCUCCCAAGAGCAGGUCCCCGCGGCCCCGCCUCGGACCCUCCUGGUGUGCGCCCAGUGCCAAGUCCGUCUGUGCUCUCUUAUUCAGCCGGAACAAGGACUGUCUGCAGCUGCUAAUGAUGUCGUGUCAAAACUGAAGCGAGGACACCAUAGUGAUGGGAGGUGGCUGCCAGGGAACCCACAGCGUGAAAACCCUGCAUGAAAGGACAGGAAAGUGACACUAACAACCCGCUCUGCCGGGAGCUGGAAGGAGGGCCUGGAGAGGCGGGCAGAAUUUCUGCAGAGCGCGCACUGCGCUUAUGUCCCAGCUCUAAGAUUAUUACCUUAGAAUAAAUUACCCCAGCAGUGGAAUUGCACUGUCAUGGGAGGCCAUGAGAGCCGGAAUUCUCACGAGCAGCAGCGGCCCUGUGGCCCUCAGCAGAGGGACUGACUGGAAGCAGAUGUGGCACAAGUCUCCCCAUGCGGCUUCACUGUUGACUCUCAGGACAUCUACCCUGGGGACUUCCCGCACCAAGAAGACCCUGAGUCACAUGCUUGCUGCUGUCCCCAUCUAUGAUGGCUGUAAAUUCCAUUUGCCUGCUGCUGUCCAUGAAUGGAAGUCUACCUGGGACCCUCUCCUGACCUGGAGACCCACACAUCCAAAUGCCUACUUGGCAGCUCCCGUGGAUGUUUCGUGAUCAGCAUUCCCAACAGUGAAAUCCUGAAUGCUCUUCCCCAAAUCCACUCCACACACGGCCUUCCCUAUCCCUUGUGGUGGCAACUGAGUCCACUGUGGGUCCAUGGGCCCCCCUUUCUUUGACUCCCCAGCUCCAGUCCCCUAGCAAGACCAGCUGGAUCUGCUCUUUGGAUUGCCAGGAUCUGCCCACGUCUCAGGGCCCUCACUGCCUGGCCCACACAUGAUGCUCAAAGACACUCUCACACAUGUCCAAAUAUUUAAAAGUUAUACAUCAAACCCACAAACUUUAAUUUGAUAAGUAAAAAAUGUUUAAAUAAACAAUUUUAAAAGUA
rnacentral:lncRNA from 1 species